UCGUAAAGGAAAAUCGUAACCAUACGACUGGUCAAUGGAUCCACGCACGCGGUGUCCUUGGAAGAAUUCUAGAAAUGAUCUAAUCGUUGCUUGGAAAUUGCAAGGAAAAGAAUGGUGCAGGCAUGAGGGGAAAGGUGCGAGGUUUCACGUGAGAAUAAACUUGGUACCGGUUACGUCGCGUGUCAGACUGAAUUCUACUUGUAAUGCACCGCGCGCUUUCAGUGCGUUUGAUCUUUCAUUCGACGCGGGUUCUCUGUGAUCAGAUUCUUCUUUUAGUCAGUUAAAAAUUGUACCAUAGCUUCUAAGAAAAAGAUGUUCCUUCGACAAAACACAAGCUAAGGAUCUGUAAUACUCGAACGACGAAGCUCAACAUUUUGAACAGUUCGAUACACGAUAUGUUUCUUGAUCGAAAGUUAAAAAGACGCUGAUAACGAUGCAGACAACGGUGCAGACACGAUGUCGAUCGGUCACGUAGGCGUAGGUAUUUUAAGCUUACGUGCAACGUUCAGACGUCCAGGCACCGUAAAUAUACAUGUAUACGCAGAAUGCCUAUUGAUUUGACCCCGUAAGCGGCUUCUCUAUAUUUAGUAUCGAACGUUCGUAACUUCAACCUCAACCCCGCCUAUCACCUUAACCCUGAACCAAGCCAUGGACACUAACUAGGAAUUCUCACGUUCAUACGAGCUUCAACAACAGGAUGACACCGUCGUUGAUCGUGUCAGCCUCUUUUAAACGAACUUCGAAGUUUCGUUUUAUCUGGUUUGCACCGAAUUUCACCAAAACUUACCAGAGAUUAAAUGUGAAUACCGAGGGGUUUGAGCGUUUCGAGAGAGCAGUUUGGCGGACUAUUUCUCCGACAAGAAGUAAUUUUGCUCGGCCAUCGCACGCUAGCCAAGCCUUUGCAGUCAAGGAACUUUCCAAGAAAUUUCUUUCACCGCGGGAGAGGAAAGAAGAAAAAAGAAAAGGAGAUGAAGUUUGGAAGGGUCGGACGAUCGAUAAUCGCGGAACGUUCGCGAAUCGCAUGAUUACUUAUACAUCGACAAUUAAACGUCGUUUCCUCUGUUGCAGCUCGUGAAUUGUCGUCGACUUUUUACAAGGUCUUAUCGAUUUGCGAUGCUUGACGUGGCACACGAAGAUUUCCACUGUUUGUGGUGAAUUACCGAGCGACCGGAAACGAUCAACGAUUCGUAGGGCGAAGAGGAUACUCGAUGCCGCUGCACUUGAACUUAUCGCGCGAUCGUUAACGCGACCUAGAAAUAGGUGCAUUGAUUUUCACGUCGACUUAUCCAGACAUUCUAAUUAUUAAUAGACUGCAAAUAUCCACGCAUCUACGCGAAAUAUGAACGUGCAAGGAUAUACAAAAUAUGCAAAUAUUGAUCGGAUCGUUAUAGCAUUUCUGACAUCAGUGAAAUCUGUCGUCUCGUAAGAUCACCAUUGUAAAUGAAAGUACAUAGCAUAUUUAAAAAAUCAUCGUUUUUAACGUAUAUUUGUUGAACUUUUCAAAGGAAAUAAUAUGAAUUUUGUCAAGCUUCCAAUUGAUCGAACGUAGAUUUCCUGAUAAUAAAUUACACGAUAAUAUUCUCGUCGAGAAUUACUUGAAUUUUUGUGUAACUUAGUUUGCAUCGAGAUGUGCGUUUUACGAUUCCCCGAAGUACUAACUUCCUAUUACUUUCAGUCUUCUAUAUUACUGAUUAAAAUUUGUUUACGAGUGUCAUUAGUUCGCGAACGCUACUAUUCUACUCGUUCUCGUUUCAUCUCAGCAGGGUGAACGUUAAUUUCGACGGUUCAUUCACGACGAAGAGCACUUCGGGUAUUACGCGACGGCUUUGAAUGAAACUUCGCAACUAGGUCGAGACUCGGAAGGUAUCAGAAAAUGAUUUCGUCCGAAAAGCAUUUAAACUCUCGAAUACCUUCGAUACUUAGAGAAACUGACAAUUCCCUUUCUAGACAGGUAGAGUAAAUUGAAGAUAGGGUUGUGUAGCCGUCAUUGUUUCAUAAAACGAAAGAAAAAUUCGUGACAAAUCUUUCAACACGUCUUUCAUUCUUCCUCGAUAAAAAACGAACCUAAAACUUGAUUUAUUAUGAAUUACAAUUCUAGGGAAUUGAUAUCUCUUUGUCUUCUUUACUCUCAUUUUUCUUUUAAAAAUAUAAAUUUUAUUUGAUUAAUUAAACUUAAGUAAACCUAUUAAUUCGUUUAAGUAACGAAAGCUUAGCAUAUUUAGAUUUAACUAAUUGGUAUUUAAAUAAGUUCGUUAAAAAAUUGAUGUAUAUCUUUAUAUCCGUCUGAAUGAUUUGUAGCCUACAAAUUUAUUUAUAGUCUAUCUUCAACUUCCUCUUAAGAAGUUCAAUUUCCAUUCAGUAUUCAUCUACAGAAACGUCUAUUUCUUCAAACUAGACUCUACAAAUUUUUCUUUCGUGAGUAUCGUAUUGACUUUAACCCACGAUUACAAUAACUAUGCUAAUUUUCGUCUUAUUCGAGCGAUUUUAUCGAGACCCGGUCGAUGAAAUGCCUAAACGUAAACGCCAAGGUGACAUGGACACGUAUUGCGUGUGGAAGAUCCGUUGACGCAUUGCAGAAGAACAAAAUUAUCGGGAGAGGUCAGCAAAACGACCGAGAAAAAGGUAGAACAGUGCAUAAAAAAGGAAUGUUAAAAAGAUAAAAAAGAAAGACAAAAAUGGUGGCGCAUUUGAACCGACGGAGAACAGCAUUCGUCCCUGCUCGGCCGGUAAAUCAAUUUCGUCGAAGGACGAUCUAAGAGUGCGAGAAUUGCGGCGGGGUCAACGAGCCACGCAGCGGCCACAUUAAUUAAGUAAACGCUGCUCCUAUUGCCGACCUCUUUCAGCGGCUAAUCGCUUUCGACGCUCGUGCGAUUAUGUUCACUACGAAUAUCCAGAAAUUCAUUUCUGACGCCGUUUGUUUUUUAUAUUUCAUAAAUUGGAUGAUAGUUGGUUAAUAAUUCAGAGCUUUUGUGUCAUCGGUUUUCCAGGAUAACGAAAGUAAACCUUCCUAAAAACGUAAAAACGUGAAUUUGCAUAAGUAUCUGUAGUCUAGUAGUAUUGAAUGUCUAUAUUAAAUACUAUUUAGAAAAUACGAUUGUUCUAAUUUUUUGCUAAACAUUCUUAAUGUUUAUUAAAGAACGAUGUUUAUCAAUUCUUACUUCCCCGUUUUUCUUUCUGUUGCCGCUAUUGCCCAUACCUCUGCAGGCUUCAAAGAUAUACAACGUAAUAGAUAUUAUUUAAUUCUUAUUUGUUGGUUUUAUACCAACAGGAAAUUGAAUUGUAUGCAUACAUUCAUGCGUGCAUAGUAUACGUAUCAAAUGUAAACUGAAAUAAGUAUAUGUAAAUAAAUCUUACAUCCAAACAUAUUUAUUUGCCUAUUAAUAAAAUAUAAUCAAUCACGAAAUGUCAAGGAAUAAUAGAAAUCUUAUGCUCACAUAAGAUUAAAAAAAAAGAAUCAUGGAAGAAAAUUAAUUGUUGAAUUUAAAAACAAUUAAUCAAAAGAGAUUAAAGUGGUAAUAGUAACACAGAUACUAUUUUUCUACAUCAAUCAUUUUAUUCCAAUUGAAAGUAUUGUUAAAAUUUCACAUUUCUUUCGGCAUGGAACGUGUUAACCGGAAGUCACUAACUAUAAGUAUUCCCAUCAGCUGUUGACGAACAGUGUGGGGCCUGUGUUACAAUUUACUUUCAGAAUAUCGUCAUUCUUGCAAUUUUUAUAUAUUAAAAGAUGAAAUUAGAUAAUCAUAUAGAGAGCAUAUAAUAUAACGAGGAAAAAUUCAUAUGUGAUCACUUGGAGCAGUAUUACGCCAGGGACACGGGCUGCACGGCUGCACGGCUGCACGCAGUGUGGUCUCUUACAUAAGUUAGAACAGAGGUUAGAAAGAGAAGCAUAGAGAAUACGUUCGACCGAUAUGAAUAGUUGACACGAUGUUUUCACUUGACACCGGUUUUCGUUAGAAAACGAAGCUCUGUCUGCGUCUUCGGAAGUACACUCACUACCAAUUCAACAUGAAGAAAUCGAGAACGAUGUUUUGUCAACGAUCACCAAUUCAAUUAAUACGAAGAUUAACGCUGGUUCCCUUAAACACGUUGAAACGCGAAAACACGCGAAAAUAUUGAAACGCGAGGAAAGUUAACAGGCUGAACCAUCUACGUCCGCAACGUAUACGUAUAUUGACAGCUACGUAGACGAAACGAGUCUCAUAAAUGCACGAAAUCACGUCUACUCGCACGCACUGUGAUACUCAGAUCGGAUAGUGUCUUCGUUGAUAGAAGACGAAUCCAUAAACUCGCGUUUCACAAACGUACAGCGAGAUUCUGCGAGACGAAAUGAAACAACUAGCUGAACGAAAUGACAAAAGUGAGGUUACGUAGGUCCAGACUCGAUGACACGAGUUAUCGAGACGCAGUCUGAUAGUCGAUGACUUGUACAACAGAUUUCUCUCCUUUCUUCUUGUUCCUACCGUCUCUCGGAUCGUGACAAUGGACUAGAAGCUGCAGCGGCACGCUGCACACCCAGGACGCACCACGCAAGUUCCAGCUGACGUCCUGGCGAAUCGAAGAAGUGGGGAGGGAACGGAGCAGUCAAGUGUGGUGGACAGCCCUCAUGGACUUAGAUCGGCCCUCGCGGCUCAAAGGAGAAGCAUAAGUGGAAAAGCAGGAUUAGGGAUUAUUUGGUUAUGUUUUGCAACCCUUUGACUAUCAUUGGUACCUGUACGUGAUAGAAGUCAAUGCUUAUAGAAGGUUAAAGAUAAUCACUCGCUAGAUAUUAAUAAUACACCUAUAAAUGCCUGUACUGUACUCCAACUGUUCUUUUUUUCCUAACAAACGAAUAUAUUCCUAUA